CGCCAUUUUCUUUCUGAGUAUUUGUUACACGGCGUGCUGCGAGGAAAAGCCUGUUCUAACGUUUGAGUCUAAGGAUUAUUUUGAGCACUUGACGGCUCGUUUUUGCUUUUCAUUCGUAAACUCUCUCGAAACUCUUUCAUGUGAUUCUUGUGUAGGUGGUUAAAGAGGUUUGUCGUGUUUGAGUGGUGGUGGGGACCAGUUUGUGUCAGACUUUUCAUAACCAAACCAUGUCCAUGCUACAGAGGUAGCCCCUCGUUUAACAAUAAGGUCCUCGAUUUGUUUUGACUGGUCCAUCUGCUUGGAGCUAGCUGGUUCUGCCUCAUCCUUGCUGGCCAUGCUGGUAUUCUCUGUGCCUUCAUCUGCGUGGUGACUAAUAAAUUGCGACUAGUCUCAAUGGCUGAGAUGGAGGAGCAACACAGCGACACGUUAACCCGACUGCUGCAGUUCCUGUAUGAACUGAGCAACUCUAAAAAUCCAAGGAAAAGCUGAGUGUAUUUUAUUUAAAGCUCAGACGGACCUUGAUGGACUAACAUGCAGGCUGCAUUCAGGACUUUGUCACACUGGUAUAUGAAGAGUGGUAACAAGAGAAAUUGUGCACACACAACGUGUCACUUUAUGCUUGCUCUUCUCCAGCCUCUGGUGUCACUUUGUAGUAAUUAGUCUUACUAUUGUCUUAUUUGUUGUGAUUUAGGGUGUGUGCGCACAAGCAGAGGUUUUUGUUUGUAACCGUAACCUCGUUUUCAGAGCCUUGUCUAACAUUUAUAUGUCAGACUUUUUCCUCUACUUAAACAGCUAAGAGCAUUUGAACACAGUUGAGAAAAAGGUGUGCAUUAAGGAUUUUGAACUAUGAUGUUUAAGUGUUGUCACUGCUGAGGAUCCUUAUUCACUACGCUGCUGUUUACAGUUUAACUUUUCAUCAGAACAAGCACUUCUAAUUGUACUUUGCUCCUCACUGACAAAACAAGUCCAGUAAAUGCACUUUUAUCUUUAAGUUUGGGACAGUAAUCUGUCUUAAUUUAUUUUGUGCUUUAGUUAUCAUAUGGGGAAAGGUUCUGUGGUUAUCUAUCCGUCCUGUUUGCAUAAACCCGAAGUUCAGGAACAUCUUCUUUAGAUCUGUUCAGUUUUAUUCAUGUGGCACGACUUAAACAGUCAAGUAUGUUAUAUUGUAAGGUAAAGACCCCAAAGAGUUAAUCUCGGACAAAUGUUCACACAAAUGUGAAUUACAUUCACUUCAAUGAAGUAAAUGCAAUUCAGUAAUCAAAUGUGUUUGGCUAUAACUGACUACAUGUGUAUACUGUACCAUAAGUGGACAGACAUAGAUGUAAACCACACCUUAACCAUUUGGCUGAGGCAAAACUACCACAAGGCAGUGAUUCUAACUAAAAGGUACUCUGGAUAUUAUUAAAUGUGAACAUAUCGUUAAAUAUGACUUAACUAUAUUUUUGUUUGUCAGGUGUCCUGUUUGAAGAAAACACUUGGUAGCCACUUGAAUGAAUGUAAAUAAACACAUUUACAUGAGGGCAACCUGAUUUCAAGGAAAUAAAUAUGCUUAAAUUUGAAA